AUUGGUUUCAAAUCAAAGACAAAUCUGCCCUUCGUGCAGCUCUAAUACAGACUCUGUUUGAUGACCUCAGCAAAUAUACGCUGUAUCCAGACCACAUAAUGUACAGUACUGUGCUAAGUACUUUGUGCUGUAAGUACAGAUUUCUAAGGGAUGACAGCCAAACUGGAUAUGCUACUCUACUUGAAAUACUGAGAAAUAAAUUCAAAAAAGAGAGAAAGACACUUAUUUCAGUGGAGACUGUAGAAGACAUGAAAAAAAGUUUGGUGCUGUGGGUCGAGGAAGGAAGCGUGCACCAGAGCAACAGCAACCGCUCAUGAAAAAGAGAAGAGAAUCUGUAAGCCUAACUCUUGGAUCUGCAUUGACAGAAAUAGAUUGAAAUAGAAUUACAUACUUUAUAUAUGUACAUACAUGCGAUUGUGUAGUUUAUUAGCUAAUUGGCUUUCAU